GAUGAAGAACGUAGCGAAAUGCGAUACGUAAUGUGAAUUGCAGAAUUCAGUGAAUCAUCGAAUCUUUGAACGCAUAUUGCGCUCUCUGGUAUUCCGGAGAGCAUGCUUGUUUGAGUAUCAGUAAACACCUCAACUUCCAUAUCUUUUUUGAAAUGGGAGUUGGACUUGAGUGAUCCCAACGCUUUUCCUCACCGAAAAGUGGCGGGUUACUUGAAAUGCAGGUGCAGCUGGACUUUUCUCUGAGCUAUAAGCAUAUCUAUUUAGUCUGCCUAAAAACAGAUUAUUACCUUUGCUGCAGCUAACAUAAAGGAGAUUAGUUCUUGUGCUGACUGAUGCAGGCUUCACAAAGACAGGCUUCGGCCGACUUUGUAAACUCGAUCUCAAAUCAAGUAAGACUACCCGCUGAACUUAAGCAUAUCAAUAAGCGGAGGA
rnacentral:misc_RNA from 1 species